AAAGAAAUUUGGCAAAGGGCCUGAUCUACAAAGCUGAUUUUCCCUGGUAUAAAAUGUCCCCAUAGCACAAUGCUUUUUAUUCUGGAUGAAGUGGGCUAUAGAGAGGGUGACAGAUGACUCACCCACCCUGAAAAUUAGAGCUCAUGACUUGAUAUGUUCACGUUAACCGGAAGAGAUAAAAAGAUGGGAAAGAUUCUCCUAAUCAAUUUCAUGCUGCAGAACAAUUUCAUCUUCCCUCCCGUUGUGCAUGUUAGAAAAGCCUGCUGAAUCAUGUGCUGGAGGUAUUACCACCAUGGCCCAAAGCAGCCACUUGAGCCCUCAGAAUUAACAACUCCAGUACUCACAGACAAUAAACAUCAUUCAGUUGAAUUGUCCAACCCGAAAUUCCCAGGAAAAGAAGCUGGCCCAGCUUUCCUUCUUGACCUGCCAUAAGCAGCUGUCCAGUAGUGGAGAGAUGGCCUUGAAUCUUUUGUCCAAAGACUAUGGCUGGAGGUGUGUGAAUACUUGGUUCAGAUCUCAGGUGUGACCCUUUAUCAUAAGGGCUGUAAGUGGGCUAGGUUCCAGAUGUGACCAGACCAUCUCUGCAAAUGUGGCAUGUUACCAAGGUAGCCACACUUAAGAAAACACAGCCCAUUGCUCUGUCACGCAGCACAAUUUCUGAACAAGGCAAGGUGGACCUAACUAAUGCAGAAUGAUCUCUUGGAGGGAAGCAGAUAGAGAUUUAUCUGCUGGUUCCUUUCCCUUUUCUAUAUCUCCUUUGUCAGAAUUAGCCCCAUAGUGUUACUUACCCUCCACUUUAAUUCCUGUUACCUAGGUGCUUGGUGGAGCUGCUAAAAGAUAAAUUCUAUGCUGUGAAGCAGCUUCAUUUAAGCCCCAAAGCAAUAAUAAUUGCCAUGGUCCUAACUGAUAAAAAUUUUUAUCACAACUCAGUCCCUAGACCAUUUUUCCAAUCCGGAUCCCAUAUUCAUUGUCUAGUUAAGAGAAAGUGCCUAAUGUCCAAAGUGAGUUUAUGUGAAGUCUUUUCUCCUCUUAUCUUUUUGCUGUACUUUCUCCCUGUAAAGUACAGCAUGGAAUGGGUGAUAGGGUGGGUGUCGGGGGAAAGUCAUGGAUCCACUGUUCCAUUCUCAUCCCUUUUCCUUGGUCAUAUCAAAACACAAGACAGUUUACUUGUGUAAUUGCUCAUUUUUUAACAUUUUGCCGGAAUUUUUCCACCUAAUAAAAAUAUUUAAAAAACAACUAGAUCUAUCAGUAA
rnacentral:lncRNA from 1 species